GGGGCUAUAGCUCAGCUGGGAGAGCGCUUGCAUGGCAUGCAAGAGGUCGGCGGUUCGAUCCCGCUUGGCUCCACCA
rnacentral:tRNA from 1 species